UACGGAGGGUGCAAGCGUUAUUCGGAUUCACUGGGCGUAAAGGGUGCGCAGGCGGCCAAGUGUGUGAGGCGUGAAAGCCUGGAGCUUAACUCUAGAAUUGCACCUCAAACUACUUGGCUAGAGCAUUGGAGAGGGUAGCAGAAUUCACGGUGUAGCAGUGAAAUGCGUAGAUAUCGUGAGGAAUACCAGAGGCGAAGGCGGCUACCUGGACAAUUGCUGACGCUCAGGCACGAAAGCGUGGGGAGCAAAAGGG
rnacentral:rRNA from 1 species